rnacentral:rRNA from 1 species
UGGGGAAUAUUGGACAAUGGGCGAAAGCCUGAUCCAGCCAUGCCGCGUGUGUGAAGAAGGUCUUCGGAUUGUAAAGCACUUUAAGUUGGGAGGAAGGGCAGUUACCUAAUACGUGAUUGUUUUGACGUUACCGACAGAAUAAGCACCGGCUAACUCUGUGCCAGCAGCCGCGGUAAUACAGAGGGUGCAAGCGUUAAUCGGAAUUACUGGGCGUAAAGCGCGCGUAGGUGGUUAGUUAAGUUGGAUGUGAAAUCCCCGGGCUCAACCUGGGAACUGCAUUCAAACUGACUGACUAGAGUAUGGUAGAGGGUGGUGGAAUUUCCUGUGUAGCGGUGAAAUGCGUAGAUAUAGGAAGGAACACCAGUG